UUGACUCUGCGGGACACGUGAUUGCGUCGGCACACGGGGCGAGCCAACAUUCUACGAACGGGAGCUUGGCAACGUGGCGUGGAUGUGUUAGCCCUUACGGGCAAGACGGAAGCGCCCAGCCGGCACCCACCUGCUUACGCAGGUUCGUACCCACUGACCACACGAUCUUGCGGAGUCAUA
rnacentral:other from 1 species